rnacentral:rRNA from 1 species
UACAGAGGGGGCAAGCGUUGUUCGGAAUUACUGGGCGUAAAGGGCGCGUAGGCGGCCUGUUAAGUCGAACGUGAAAUCCCCGGGCUCAACCCGGGAACUGCGUCCGAUACUGGCAGGCUUGAAUCCGGGAGAGGGAUGUGGAAUUCCAGGUGUAGCGGUGAAAUGCGCAGAUAUCAGGAGGAACACCGGUGGCGAAGGCGGCUUGCUGGGCCAGUUCUGACGCUGAGGAGCGAAAGCGUGGGGAGCGAACAGG